AACGAACGCUGGCGGCAUGCUUAACACAUGCAAGUCGAACGAGACCUUCGGGUCUAGUGGCGCACGGGUGCGUAACGCGUGAGCACCUGCCCUUAGGUUCGGAAUAACUCCCCGAACGGGGUGCUAAUACCGGAUAAUGUGUUCGGAACAAAGAUUCAUAGCCUUUGGAUGGGCCCGCGUUGGAUUAGCUAGUUGGUCGGGUAGAAGCCUACCAAGGCGACGAUCCAUAGCUGGGCUGAGAGGAUGAUCAGCCACGCUGGGACUGAGACACGGCCCAGACUCCGAGGGAGGGCAGCAGAGUGGAGUAUUGGGCAAGGGGCGAAAGCGUGGUCAAGCAGUGCCGGGGGUGUGGGGAAGGGCGUAGUGUUGCAAAGCUCGCAGACCCGAGAUGAGAAUGACAGUACCGGGAGAAUAAGCUCCGGCUAACUCCGUG
rnacentral:rRNA from 1 species